rnacentral:rRNA from 1 species
AGAGUUUGAUCCUGGCUCAGGAUGAACGCCGGCGGUGUGCCUAAUACAUGCAAGUCGUACGCACUGGCCCAACUGAUUGAUGGUGCUUGCACCUGAUUGACGUUGGAUCACCAGUGAGUGGCGGACGGGUGAGUAACACGUAGGUAACCUGCCCCGGAGCGGGGGAUAACAUUUGGAAACAGAUGCUAAUACCGCAUAACAACAAAAGCCACAUGGCUUUUGUUUGAAAGAUGGCUUUGGCUAUCACUCUGGGAUGGACCUGCGGUGCAUUAGCUAGUUGGUAAGGUAACGGCUUACCAAGGCGAUGAUGCAUAGCCGAGUUGAGAGACUGAUCGGCCACAAUGGAACUGAGACACGGUCCAUACUCCUACGGGAGGCAGCAGUAGGGAAUCUUCCACAAUGGGCGCAAGCCUGAUGGAGCAACACCGCGUGAGUGAAGAAGGGUUUCGGCUCGUAAAGCUCUGUUGUUGGAGAAGAACGUGCGUGAGAGUAACUGUUCACGCAGUGACGGUAUCCAACCAGAAAGUCACGGCUAACUACGUGCCAGCAGCCGCGGUAAUACGUAGGUGGCAAGCGUUAUCCGGAUUUAUUGGGCGUAAAGCGAGCGCAGGCGGUUGCUUAGGUCUGAUGUGAAAGCCUUCGGCUUAACCGAAGAAGUGCAUCGGAAACCGGGCGACUUGAGUGCAGAAGAGGACAGUGGAACUCCAUGUGUAGCGGUGGAAUGCGUAGAUAUAUGGAAGAACACCAGUGGCGAAGGCGGCUGUCUGGUCUGCAACUGACGCUGAGGCUCGAAAGCAUGGGUAGCGAACAGGAUUAGAUACCCUGGUAGUCCAUGCCGUAAACGAUGAGUGCUAGGUGUUGGAGGGUUUCCGCCCUUCAGUGCCGGAGCUAACGCAUUAAGCACUCCGCCUGGGGAGUACGACCGCAAGGUUGAAACUCAAAGGAAUUGACGGGGGCCCGCACAAGCGGUGGAGCAUGUGGUUUAAUUCGAAGCUACGCGAAGAACCUUACCAGGUCUUGACAUCUUGCGCUAACCUUAGAGAUAAGGCGUUCCCUUCGGGGACGCAAUGACAGGUGGUGCAUGGUCGUCGUCAGCUCGUGUCGUGAGAUGUUGGGUUAAGUCCCGCAACGAGCGCAACCCUUGUUACUAGUUGCCAGCAUUAAGUUGGGCACUCUAGUGAGACUGCCGGUGACAAACCGGAGGAAGGUGGGGACGACGUCAGAUCAUCAUGCCCCUUAUGACCUGGGCUACACACGUGCUACAAUGGACGGUACAACGAGUCGCAAGCUCGCGAGAGUAAGCUAAUCUCUUAAAGCCGUUCUCAGUUCGGACUGUAGGCUGCAACUCGCCUACACGAAGUCGGAAUCGCUAGUAAUCGCGGAUCAGCAUGCCGCGGUGAAUACGUUCCCGGGCCUUGACACACCGCCCGUCA